UCUUGGGAAGUGCUUCCGGGAGCACAGACGCGGUCACAAAUCAUGUGACUGCAGCUUUUAGAGGAACCUGUCCCAGAAGUUGUCCCUGAACAACUGUCCCUGACAGUUCAGAGAACCAGGCAGCCCAGAAACCCAGGCGUGGAGAUUGAUCCUGCGGGAGAAAGGGGUUCAUCAUGGCGGAUUUCCUUUUGGAGAAGGAAAUGACAACCCACUCGAGUGUUCUUGCCUGGAGAACCCCAUGAACAGAGGAACCUGGAUCUAAAACGAUUCCUGUAUAAAAAAUUACCAAGUAGCCAAAGGCUCAGCAAUAAAGAAUCUGCCUGCAAUGCAGGAGACCCUGGGUCAGGAAGAUCCCCUGGAAGAGGGCAUGGCAACCCACUCCAGUAUUCCUGCCAGGAGAAUCCCAUGGACAGAGGAGCCUGGCGGGCUACAAUCCAUGGGAUCACAGAGAGUUGAACACGACUGAAACGACUUACACACACAAAUGAGUAUAAGUAUCCCCAUUUUCAUAUUAACUGAGGCUUAGCGAGGUUUUGUAACUGAUGCAAGGUAGCAUAAACAGUAAGCAGCAGAGCCUGAACAGGAACUCAGGUCUGUCUUACUUCAGAGCUGUGGUCUUGACCAUUCUGUUUACUUCUUGUGCAGGCAUGCUUGAAAGGAUUGCCCUGUGACCUCCAUUCUUUCUGUCCUGUUCUCUCAGCUUACAGUGGUCUCCCCACUCCACUUUUUUUAUUAGCAUAACGUCUCAGCUGAGGUACCACUUCCUCCGGGAAGCUUUCCCUGACCCACCUAUCUGAAUCUACCCCUCCUUUUGUAAGCUCUCUUGUAGCCUCACACAUCUCUUAAUGGCAAUUCUCACAGUAGUUUUACAUUUGUGUGAGGUAAUCUGAAUGAUAGCCACUCUCCCUUUAGAUUGUAAGUUGUGUGAAGGCAGCAACUGGGUCUCUUUUUGCUUCCUAUGGUUGAAGAGUUUGGCAAACAUGUUUUAGGAGCUUAGGUCAGUGAUUGAGUUCUCAUGGUUUUUCAGAAAUAUACAUGAGAAUUAUCAUUAUGAUUUUGAAGUUACAUAUUUUGAGACAAUGUUUUAUAAUAUAUUAACUUUUUCUUUCUAGUGUUGAGGGGCUCCAUGCUAUUGUUGUGUCAGAUAGAGAUGGAGUGCCUGUCAUUAAAGUGGCCAAUGAUAACGCUCCAGAGCAUGCUUUGAGACCUGGUUUCUUAUCAACUUUUGCCCUUGCAACAGACCAAGGGAGCAAACUCGGACUUUCAAAAAAUAAAAGUAUCAUCUGUUACUAUAACACCUACCAGGUGGUUCAAUUCAAUCGUUUACCUUUGGUAGUGAGUUUCAUAGCCAGCAGCAGUGCUAAUACAGGUAUGUUUUAAUUACCUUAAAUACAGCUUUUAAUCUUUAUACUACCGGAUCUGAACAGUCUAAUAUGAUAAAAAUACAGAUUCAGAGUAAGAAAACCUUAAUGCAUGGCCCAGCUCUACCAUCUAUUCCUUGUUUUCUGGAAAUAUAACUUCUCUGAAUUGUUUAUAUAUAUAUAUAUAUAUAUCUGUAUAAUGGAGCUAAGAACUGCUUUCUUGAUCUUGAUCUUGUGCUAUUGUUUUUUAGUUCAGAUGAGAUGAUGUAUAGGUAAGUGAUCAUUUAAGAUAGAAAGGAAAAUUAAAUGUUAUUUUCACCUCUUUAAUACAGUAUCUUGCUCACAUUACAACAGUUUCAGAAAGCAAAAAGAAAAAAACAGUAGAGAAUAUAACCAAACAGAACAUAAAAAUGAUCACGGAUGAAUUCAUUUCCAUAAGGACCAAUCUAUAAAAUCUUGAACAAUAGUGGGCAAGGUAAAUGUGUUUGGGAAUAUAA